UAACACGAUUGUAUCUGGGAGGGCUGGUCCACAAAGCCUGUUAUGUGUGCUAGAUGCCAUUUGAGUUAGGGGAGGAGGCUGUGUAUAUUUAUGUGUGUAUCUAGAGAGGAAAGGCUUCCCUGCAGUAUCAACUCAUUUCUUUCACACUACAAGACUCAGAGAACUCUCAACUUGCCCUGCAGAGCCCACAGUGAGGGCUUUACAGCAUCUGGAAUGAAGCAAGAUCACAGUAGCAGCAGUGCUGGGGUCCCUUAUCUUUAAAGACUGUAUUGUUUGUCGAUUCACCAGAUUUACUUCCGAACCACAGAGAAUCAUGAAUGGGAUCCUGGAAGAUUUUAUUUUAAAAACAAAAAAUCAACAUGCACAGUUGCUGAAUUUACUCUGGUGAGCUCUAAUGUGACAGAGCAGGAAAAAGCAGAGCUAUUUCCCAUUGCAGAAGGGAGGCAAGCUGGGGAACCAGCUAUCAGUGGCUGGGGCCAGAACCCCAGAGAAGCAGCCUCAGGACUAUUGCCUCAAUUCACCACUUAGCCCACCAUGGCUAAGGGAAGACUGGAAGAGCCAGUAUUGGUAGGACAGGACUGCAGCUGAACACUUCACCCUGCUCCAGGUGCACCCUGUCAUUUAACCCCCACCCUCCCAGUGCUGCACCAGCACAAGAAAAGCAUGGUUGUCCCCUCAUGAUCGUGGCUUUGGCCUGCCAAAGUUGUCCCCAAAUUGAUGGGCAGUCCACAGCCCUGUCUAUGAAGGAUUCAACUUGCUGAAGCCCUGAGCAGGGUGGGUACUGGCUGCAGGACUGCAGGGGAGAGGCAACAGACUUUGGUAAAACCUCUCUUGAGAAUCCAGAGAAGAAUGUGGCCAUCCUACUGUCUCUGUUUUUUGGGAAACUCUUGGGCCUAGGAGAAGAAAGCAAUAAACCUAAAUAAUUUAGGGUGCAGUUGUAAUCCAUGUCCAAAAAAGACCCUCGUGUCUGACCCUGUGCUGGUUGACCACCAUCACACUUCCUUCAGGAGGGAAUGGAUCAUCCGAAUGGAAUGUGGAUGAGAGGUGAAUCAACUGCAGAUCCUUAUGAGAUGACACAACAGCAGGAAGAAAAUGUGGAAGGUGAGGGAGACAAAGAUGAGGAGGAAGUGUUCUCUGGUAUCACCUCUUUUUCACUUUCUUUCUUACACCUUGCUGUUCCCCAUAUCUCUUUAAGUUAGGGAUCUGGGGGGAAGUGCCAGUCUGUGGUAACACUAGUAUUAUCCCAUGGAUGAUGUACAAGUAUUAUUGAAGAAGCACUUUCCCCAGAUACACUGGGAUUUCUUACAUAAGAAAUUAUGGACACAACAAGCCCUGCUGAAAGAGAGGUACAGAUGGCAGCAGUUAUUCCAAUUUGAAAAUGAAAAAUAAAGUUUAUUUGCCAUUCUAAGCUUUUAUUAGAACUUUGCAAAACGAGAAAUCCCAUUUUCAGUCACAGGUCAAGCAAAGCUCUAUAAAUUACUUUUACAUAAGCAGUAGGUUUGGGCCAGUAUCUAAAACUCACUCAAAUUAAUACCUUUCCAUUGAUUUCAAUGAGAUUUAUUUCACGCUGUAUAGCAGGGCAGAGAAAAUAUCUGGGCAGCAUCAGUUACAUUCCUUCAUCUUGAUUUCAUUCAGUCAUUCAUGCAAAUUCCAUGCUUCUCUUUUAAACCAUCUAAACUGAACAUCAGUCAAGGAUCAAACACUGAAGCAAUUUUAUAAGCACCACACGCAAAUUUUGUUGUAAUUUCAAGGAAUCAUUUUUAGCAGGAUCAGAACUUGGAAUAUAGCACACAAUACAUUAAUAAAAAAUCUUAAAUUUGCCACA